GAGCUAGAGACAGUAAUUCCAGAGAUUUAAGGCACAGAAACAAAUUAUCCUGCCACGUUUGCUUGGCAACUACAGACUCCAAUUCCUCUUGUAUAGGGAGAACAGCUUCAACUGGAGAAAUGUUGACACAUCAAGGACAGAAUUCGACUUUAAAGGUCAUCAUGGCUCAGUUCAUCAUAAAGACCCUAAGCCCAUGACAAUUAAUGGAGAUAUUGAGCCAAAGGCAAACCAAGAAUAGGGUGAGAUGGAGAGGACUUGUGCUCAGAGCCAGACAGAUAUGAAUUCAAAUCCCAGUUCUGUUCCUUGCCCGUUGGGUGCCCUUGGGUAAGGGACCUGCCUGAGGUCACCUGUGUCACACUGUCCCAAUGUCAGCUCCCAGGGAACUUUCUCCUGGCUAUUCCCAGGGCUGAGGGCUACAUCCCUGCCUCCCCAUUCUCUCUCCCUCCUGCCCCUGACUUACCAGACACCUCCACGUAUCCAUCUUUGGUCUUCACCAUCAACUCCUCUGGCUUGAAGCUGUGCACAUUCACACACACUUUCCAGGGCUCCCCAGGGAAGGGUGGGGGGGUCCUGCCCUCGGCAGGCACCCCAAACCUGGCGGUGGCAG
rnacentral:lncRNA from 1 species